GUCAGAUUGAACGCUGGCGGCGUGCUUAACACAUGCAAGUCGAACGCGAAAGGGACUUCGGUCCUGAGUAAAGUGGCGCACGGGUGAGUAACGCGUGGAUAAUCUGCCCUUAUGAUCGGGAUAACAGUUGGAAACGGCUGCUAAUACCGGAUACGCUCAAAAUGAACUUUUUGAGGAAAGAUGGCCUCUGCUUGCAUGCUAUCACGUAAGGAUGAGUCCGCGUCCCAUUAGCUUGUUGGCGGGGUAACGGCCCACCAAGGCAACGAUGGGUAGCCGAUUUGAGAGGAUGAUCGGCCACACUGGAACUGAAACACGGUCCAGACUCCUACGGGAGGCAGCAGUGGGGAAUAUUGCGCAAUGGGCGAAAGCCUGACGCAGCGACGCCGCGUGAGGGAUGAAGGUUUUCGGAUCGUAAACCUCUGUCAGAAGGGAAGAAACUACGUUGUGCUAAUCAGCAGCGUACUGACGGUACCUUCAAAGGAAGCACCGGCUAACUCCGUGCCAGCCGCCGC
rnacentral:rRNA from 1 species